rnacentral:rRNA from 1 species
CCUACGGGAGGCAGCAGUGAGGAAUAUUGGUCAAUGGGCGAGAGCCUGAACCAGCCAAGUCGCGUGAAGGAUGAAGGAUCUAUGGUUUGUAAACUUCUUUUAUAUGGGAAUAAAGUGAGGAACGUGUUCCUUUUUGUAUGUACCAUAUGAAUAAGCAUCGGCUAACUCCGUGCCAGCAGCCGCGGUAAUACGGAGGAUGCGAGCGUUAUCCGGAUUUAUUGGGUUUAAAGGGUGCGUAGGUGGUUAAUUAAGUCAGCGGUGAAAGUUUGUGGCUCAACCAUAAAAUUGCCGUUGAAACUGGUUGACUUGAGUAUAUUUGAGGUAGGCGGAAUGCGUGGUGUAGCGGUGAAAUGCAUAGAUAUCACACAGAACACCGAUUGCGAAGGCAUCUCACGAAUCCGCGAUUGACGCUGAUGCACGAAAGCGUGGGUAUCAAACAGGAUUAGAUACCCCUGUAGUC